UUUAUUGCCCCUCUCACUAGAAACCCUCUCUCUUCUAAAAAUCACUGCUUUCCCUUAUUCUGCUCAAAAUCCCUCUUUGCUCAAAAUCCCUAAAAUCAGAAAAUCUGAAUCUCAUAUAGAUGCUUCAUCUCUCAACUCCUAAUUAAAAGAAGAACUAUGUUGGCUGCUCCGUUUCUCUGCUUCUAGUUACUGACCCAAAAGCUCAAAUCAUGGAUAUGGUACUUCUUAACCAGUAGUGUCGAUCAAGGAUGUCGUCCACCAAGGAGCAAUUACAAGGUGGUUCAUCAGCGAGAAGCUCUGACCCUCGUUAGCAGUUGCUCUCUAUUCAGCAGAUUUUGGUGAGCCCUACUCUGUUCCGGGCCUUAUGUCACUUGGCAUUGUACUUGGUGUUUCGAGGUAUAGUCGUGGCCUUGUCGCCGACACUUCUAUAUUACUCUUCUGUUGUACUUAGAGGCUCCUUAGACAUAGUGUGGGUUGUAUAAUGGUGUUGGAAGAGUCAAACUAGAUAUGUUGUAAUUGUAUCACAUGAUCCACUUCAAAUUAUGAAUGUGUAAUAUAUUUUGGGAAUUAUGAAUGAAGCAAGUAAUGAUAAUAGAAUUGGUGUUGUUCAUGAAAUCCUCUCAAUGGUUAAUUAAUGAAAUAUAUCUUUUCUUUAUUCGUGGGUGAGUUUGGGUAGGAGGCAUUGUACAAGCUUGCUUAACCGGAGUAUCUCGAUUGAGCGCCGGUCGCGCUCCCCUAGGUCGGGGCAUGACAAAUACAUAUUUCAUCAAGUUCAUGAAAGCUUCUGGGGAAUUAGUCAGUCAAAAAGACAUCACAAGAAACUCAUAGUGACCAUAGCGGGUCCUGAAUGACGUCUUCAGAAUAUCAGAAUCCCGAAUCUUCAACUGAUGGUACCUCGACCUCAAAUCAAUCUUCGAGAACACGCUAGCACCCUGAUUGAUAACGUCCUUGGAAGCUCAACUCUAUUCAAGGAUAAGGAUGAAACUUUGGAAUCUCAAAGAGGGCAUUUAAUAAGAUGUCAAGCUAAAGAGUUGCAAAACAAGGUCAUUAUACUGGUGCAAAUAAAGAAGUUGUUAUUUGGGAGGAAGAGCUCAAGGAUAAAGAGUAUGAAUUGGCAACGAUACACCAGGCAUCGACUUCCCCUUUCUUCCCUCACUCCUCUCCUCCUACUUCCAUCCCUCGACACUGUCAAGCUCGACAACACGAAGACUCACCAGAUUUUUAGAUCUGGCUGUAGUUAAAUGCCCCAUUUGCUCUCUCUGCCUCGCUGGAAAAUCAAAUCUGACUGGAGAUGGAUUUGCCGGCGACCCCUUUGCUUAGUUCUAUGGCGUCGCUGCUCUAGUGCUCACUCGCCGUCGUAGUGGCGCCUUGAUAAGGGUUUCGAGAUUCCCUCUUUACUUUGUUGCUUCAUCACUGCUUCAACAUCUUUUCCGGCGACCCUGUGUGUUUUUUUUUGUUUUUCCAGUAUGGGACAUUUGUGGAUGCGUUUCGGGAAGGGCUGUUUUGUUUUUACAACUGACUUAGUGUUAUCUUCGACUUUUCCGACGAUUUAUGCAGUUUUCGGCGACCCCAACUGUUCAUCAUUACUCCUUGCUUGUUGUUUGUUGCCUUAACACUUAUCGUGGAUGUGAUUUUGUAUCGUUGGUGGACUUAUUCGAGUUGUCUUAAUAUUUGCUCCUGUCGUU